rnacentral:rRNA from 1 species
CGCGUAGGCGGUUUCGUAAGUCAGGUGUGAAAUCCCGGGGCUUAACCCCGGAAGUGCGCCUGAUACUGCGAAACUUGAGUCCCGGAGAGGGUGGUGGAAUUCCCAGUGUAGAGGUGAAAUUCGUAGAUAUUGGGAGGAAUACCGGUGGCGAAGGCGACCACCUGGACGGAGACUGACGCUGAGGCGCGAAAGCGUGGGGAGCAAACAGGAUUAGAUACCCUGGUAGUCCACGCCGUAAACGAUGGGUACUAGGUGUUGCGGGUAUUGACCCCUGCAGUGCCGACGCUAACGCAUUAAGUACCCCGCCUGGGAAGUACGGCCGCAAGGCUAAA